GAGGAUUAAUGACAUUAUAAGAAGCUGCUAACUAUCUAAUAAGGCGGUUAAAAUCCGUCUAAUCCUCU
rnacentral:tRNA from 2 species